UUAAGCAUAUCAAUAAGCGGAGGAAAAGAAACUAACAAGGAUUCCCCUAGUAACUGCGAGUGAAGCGGGAAGAGCUCAAAUUUAAAAUCUGGCGUCCUCUGGUCGUCCGAGUUGUAGUCUGGAGAAGCGUUUUCCGUGUCGGACCGUGUAUAAGUCUCUUGGAACAGGGCGUCAUAGAGGGUGAGAAUCCCGUCUUUGACACGGACUGCCGAUGCUUUGUGAUGCGCUCUCAAAGAGUCGAGUUGUUUGGGAAUGCAGCUCAAAAUGGGUGGUAAAUUCCAUCUAAAGCUAAAUAUAGGCGAGAGACCGAUAGCGAACAAGUACCGUGAGGGAAAGAUGAAAAGCACUUUGGAAAGAGAGUUAAACAGUACGUGAAAUUGCUGAAAGGGAAACGCUUGAAGUCAGUCAUGUCUGCCAGGACUCAGCCUCGCUUCUGCUUGGUGUACUUUCUGGUUUGAUGGGCCAACAUCAAUUUCGACCGUCGGAGAAAGGCUUUGGGAAUGUGGCACCUUCGGGUGUGUUAUAGCCCUUUGUUGUAUACGACGGUUGGGAUUGAGGACCGCAGCACGCCUUUAUGGCCGGGGUUUCCC
rnacentral:rRNA from 1 species